rnacentral:lncRNA from 1 species
AUGUCAUUUUGGGCAAUUAUAACCCAGGAAAUUCCCCAAUGUUUUUUUCCUUUCCAGAACGAAAACAAACUGGCCAGCCCAAACCAGAGAAGAAAUGUGGCGCUAGGUGUGUUGGGGCCGGAGCAUAGAGGUCUCUGUGUUGCAAAGCUGUUAUUGUCACUCAAAAGAAACUGGACCAUUUCUGCCAGGGUGCCCUGGUUUAUUGAAUUGAUUGGAAGGACAGAUCGUGAAGCUGAGGCUCCAGUACUUUGGCCACCUCAUGAGAAGAGAAGACUCCCUGGAAAAGACCCUGAUGUUGGGAAAGAUGGAGGGCACAAGGAGAAGGGGACGACAGAGGACGAGAUGGUUGGAUAGUGUUCUCGAAUCUACUAACAUGAGUUUGACCAAACUGCGGGAGGCAGUGGAAGAUAGGAGUGCCUGGCGUGCUCUGGUCCAUGGAGUCACGAAGAGUCGGACACGACUAAACAACAACAACAAUUGCUUCUUGAAACAACUAGUCCAGAAGCAAUAAAAUACUGUAAUAGUAGUACAGAAACAUUGAACUGUAUCAAAGUAAAAGCAACGAAUACCUGGUGCUGCCCAAAUGUGCAGGUAAACAACAGCAUAUUUACCCCUGUUACCCAAACAAUGGCAAAGUUGGUGCCAGGCAGGCCUCCCAGGGCAAGGGAUUUCAUCAACAGGGAGCUGCUACAGACAAGGUAGUCUUUGAGCUCCAGGACAGGUCAAAGGCACACAUAGAAUCAUAAAAUGAUAGAAUUUAGAGACAGGCGGAUGCCAACAAGGAAAGAACAAAUCACAUAAUUUCCAUGUGCUGUGAAUAAAACUAAACCUUGCCCCCUCAAUUUUCAGUCCAGUUCGAGAUGUAUAGGAUGGUUGCUGUUUUUAACCCAUUACUUGUUUAAGAACUUGUGGAGAAUCUUUUUUCCCCCAUGGCAAAUGUUUCUUUAAAAAUGUGUGUAUGUGUGUGCUUGUAUAUAUCAUGGGGAAGGGACUCCCCAAUAAAGUUAUCUAGAGAUCAAAAUCAGUUCAAACCCUGAUAAUGUAUUAGCAAAUAAUAUAUCUGUCAUUCAGAAUAUCAGAAGGAUUCUUGAUGCAAAGAACCAAUGCAGUAUUUUUAUGGCUGUGGAAAGCAAAAAUGAGGUUUACGCAAAAGCUGAUCUCUCUCUCUAUAUUUCACGAAGUGCGCUGUGAUAAUGACAUAGCAUAUCACAAUUUAUUACAGCAGGAUCCUUCCCCCCCAACCCCCGGUAAUUACAUAGGUUUUCCAGAAAGAAAAAGAAAAAUAUGGGAUCGGUUUUCUGAGCACAAUACUAUAUUAUUAUGGAUCUUUAUUAACAUCUUUAAUCUUGACUCAGCCAAGAGGUGAGACGAGUAUCUUGAACAAUGUAAUAUGGUCGGAGUACUUCUGUGCUUGAGUAACAAAUCCUGACCUUUAACCCUAGGGUAGCCAUGACACUCCAGGUGUUGCUGCACUCCAGCCACAGCCAAUGGUCAGAGACGAUGGGAGUUGUACUCUAAGAACCUUUGGAGGUCUUCAGGUUCCUUCUCAGAGAAAAUACCUUGUUUCAACCCCCCAAAUUUGGGAUAAGAAAGGAUUAAUUCCUAGGGUUCCACCACUAGCUUUACUUCUGUAUAGCUGAAUCUUUCAAUUGGUUGGCAUACGCAACAAAUUUGAGAUAUGCAAACAGAUAUGUGAUAUGCCUCUUCCAAAGAUAUGAGAUUUAAAUAGCAGCUUAUCUAGAUGCUAAUCGGCUAAUGCAAAAUAUAGAUCAUUUUUUUCAGAUAAAGCACAAUACAGUAAAUUCUAAUAAGUCAGUUGGCUAAAUCUGACAUACUGCUAAAAUUUUGUAGCGAUACUCUCUGUGGCUUGGUCACGUUGUCUCUAUCUGGCUGGCCUGCUAAAAAAAACAAGAAGACUGUUUUCUGUGGCUUGAUUGAUGACAAUUCUUAGAACGUGAUAAGAUCCAGAGAAAUUCAUUCAGUGUGUGAGUCAGCUAACACAUACACCCUGCCUUCUCCCCACCCCCAUAAAUGGGAUGUGGUAAGUUCCAUUUAUAUUGCACCUCAGUCUUGUUGCUAAAGAACCAUUUCUGUGCUGCUUUUUACUGUUUUUGUUCUAUGUUAAGAGUUUGUGGGUGCCAGACCCCUCUAAUCCUGGAUCCAGCAAGUGUUAACAUAUAAACCAAGCUAGCUUCCUGUUGAGAUGAUCACCUGGGUGAUGGGCCAUUAAAAGAACAAAGAGUGUGGGAAUGUUAUGGGAGGCAGGAGAGGAUAUAUUGUUUAAUGAUAUCCUUCCUAACUCGUGUUAGCAAGUUCUAUGUCUUAGCAGAGUUUAAAGAUUCCCCUUUAAACGCACAGUGGUUUGCUUGUUGCAGGUUUGUCUGAAGCUCUCUAUAUAAGAUUCCUUCUUGUCCCUCUUAAAAAGAAUAUACACAACAAUCUUAUUAAAGUGAAUAUAAAAGUAGUUUACUCACAUUCAUUCAGUUCACAGAUCCCUGAAGGCAGACUUAUGUUACAAAAGUAUAUACACAUGUGGAACUAUCCCAUAAGGGAGUUAGUUCCUAAGUGACUGUGAACAAGCAGUCACUUCUCCUCACACACAGAAAAACAAAAUGGAGAAGAGCCGAAAGAGAAAGGUGUGCUCUUGUUCCCGGGCAGAGAGAGGGCCAGAUUAGACCACAUCCUCCUCUAGUCACAUGCAGAGGAAGUUUGUCCCAGCUCAGGAGGAAACAGGAAGUUUUCUCCUGGCUGGUACAAAGCAUCCCCUAGCAUGUUCACUCUAGGAAUGUUGUACUUGGCUGCUAUGUGUUCCACAUCCCACAAAGGGAAUGGGGGGGGGAUCUGUGCCAGAUGCAAAAUGGGUGGGUCCCCUCCUUCAACUCUUUAUUAGGACAAAGUUUUAGAGCAGAGUUUGCUGUGGCACAACCUAGAACCAAAGCAGCAAGCAGAGAGUCAGAGAGCAAUGUUGAAUUCCUAUCUGAAUCCAAGGUUGCGGCUAUGGGAGAAGCAAUAUCCUUUUGGGGUGUUGAUGCUGUGAACCCCUCCAUCGUAGGUUCAGGUUGUGUGUGUGUGUGUGUGUGUGUGCAAAUAAACCAUCUAUUAUAAAGACGCCACUGUCUCUGCUGUGCCUCAUUCAAAAAGGAAGCGUGAACCCCAGGUGAGCACUUGGAACCCCAAAAUAGCACGCUGCUCGGAGAUUGUGGCAGUGUGCAACAAUACUUAGUAUUGUAUUUUAUUAUUUGACAUUUCCAAGAGUCAUGUGGGCAGCUUAUGCUGCUGGGCAGCCAAAAAUGCAGAGUUAAAUGAAUGAAUAAGGAGGAAAGGAAGAAAGCUCUGUUAUAUAAAAAAUAGAUGUAAUGCGCUGUUAGGCAAAUAAGCUGUCGUUUCUCUGCAUGUCAGACCCUGGGAACAAAGGGAAAGGGUGUGGGGAAUGCACAAGGGACAUUAGUAAGCUCUUUCUACAAGGGGGACAGCUUCUGUGACAUAUGAGAAGCAAAUUGGAGGGAGGAAAACAGCCGCUGAAACAUUGGAGUGACGAUCCAGACAGUCCAAAUAAGCUGAUUUGCCAGUUUAAGAAACGUGAGCUUUACUAACAGCAAACGGAGACCGAAGGAAAACAUAUUUGUAAGUGACAGGUGGUGUUCCCAACGUUCCCUCUCUGUGUUUGUUCUUCUCCAAUUGAGUAGCUCAGAGCCUGCUAGAAUCAACGCUUGCCCUCACUCCCUUACUGCCGCUUAAUUCAUAACUGCCUUAUGAAGUUACUACGCAAGGAUUUUAUGUGAGCAGAGGACACAAUGUGUUAUGAAAGCCGACAGCGUUCCCGAGGACGGGAACAUUUUGAGUCAGCGUCACGGUGGAGGUGGGUGGGUGGGGACGGGAAAUCCCCACUGCCACGAGAAAGCAGAAAUAUAAAGAUGACAGGACCACUUCCUGCAUAGGGACAGAAGGAUACAUCACUUCAGAUAACAAACAGGACCAG